rnacentral:rRNA from 1 species
GCGGUAAUUCAAGCUCCAAUAGCGUAUAUGUAAAUUGUUGCGGUUGAAAAGCUCGUAGUUGGACUUCUGGCGACUGCGUUCGGUCCGCCAAGCGCGUGCACUGUCCGCGGUCGUCGUUUCUGUCGACGUGGCGCGUCGGCCUUAGUUGGUCGGUGCGUCGUCUGUCGGCGAUGUUACUUUGAGGAAAUCAGAGUGCUCAAGGCAAGCGUUCGCUCGUGACUUCACUAGCAUGGAAUAACACAGAUGGGCUCUUUCUCGCACUGUUGGUCUGCGUCAAUUGAGCAACGAUCGAUAGAGACGGUCGGGGGCAUUCGUAUUGCGCAGUUAGAGGUGAAAUUCUCCGAUCUGCGCAAGACGUACUAAUGCGAAAGCAGUUGCCAAGGACGUCCUCUUAUGAUCAAGAGCGAAAGUCGGGGGAUCAAAGAUGAUUAGAUACCGUCGUAGUCCCGACCAUAAAUGAUGCCGACUGAGCUUCGGCGACUCGACCUCAGGUCGUACGUCGGCGCUCUUAGAGAAAUUAAAGUCUUUGGGCUCCGGGGGUAGUAUGGUCGCAAGUCUGAAACUUGAAGGAAUUGACGGAAGGGCACCACAAGGCGUGGAUGUUGCGGCUUAAUUUGACUCAACACGGGAAAGCUUACUAGGUUUGGACACCUUUGUGAUGGACAGAUUGAAGCUCUUACCCUACUGCGUGGAUGGUGGUGCAUGGUCGUUCUCAGCCCGUGGGUUGACCUGUCAGGUUUACUCCGGUAACGCGCGAGACCUCGGUCUGCUAAAUAGACGCGGCUGUUYCGGCACCCGCGCUCUUCUUAGAGAGAGACUCGACGAGAGUCGAGGGAAGUCGAGGCAAUAACAGAUCUGUGAUGCCCUUAGUUAUCCUAGGUCGCACGCGCCAUACAAUGUGGCGCACAACGAGUCUCCUUGGCCGACAGGAUCUGGGCAAUCUGGCAGAGCGCUACGUGACUGGGCUAGACUUUUGUAAUUUUUGGUCUUGAACGAGGAAUGCCUAGUAAUCGCAGGUCAGCAUCCUGCGAUGAUUCGGUCCCUGCCCUUUGUACACACCGCCCGUCGCUCCAUCCGUGGCAUGCGCCGGUGAAGAGGGGGAGGCAGCGUCGGCCGGGUAACACCGGAUCGUACGUGGAACCCCUCUGAACCUUCGCACGUAGAGGAAGGAGAAGUCGUAACAAGGUUUUCGUAGGUGAACCUGCGAAAGGAUCAUUAUCGGCAC